CUUCCGCAGGCUGACCACCCCCAGGCCGGGCUGGGCGAGGAGCUCUUGGAAAGACUCACCCUCAAACACAACUAGGAGU
rnacentral:pre_miRNA from 1 species